GGAUAAUAGCCGACCCAAACCC
rnacentral:siRNA from 1 species